rnacentral:ncRNA from 1 species
AAAGACUUAGUCCUAACCUUACUGUUAACUAGUGCUAAACAUAUACAUGCAAGUAUCCGCGCCCCAGUGUAAAUGCCCUUAAUUUCUUACUAAGAUGACAGGAGCAGGCAUCAGGCACACUCCACAAUGUAGCCCAAGACGCCUUGCUUAGCCACACCCCCACGGGUACUCAGCAGUAAUUAACAUUAAGCAAUAAGUGUAAACUUGACUUAGCUAUAGCACUUACCCAGGGUUGGUAAAUCUUGUGCCAGCCACCGCGGUCACACAAGAGACCCAAGCUAACAGCACACGGCGUAAAGAGCGGAUCCUUACACUAUCCAAAUAGUUAGGAUUAAAUCACAACUAAGCUGUCAUACGCCUAAGAUGCGUUUAAAAUCAACCCCAAAAUGAUCCUAACACUCACGAUCAACUAAAGCCCGCGAAAGCCAGGGCUCAAACUGGGAUUAGAUACCCCACUAUGCCUGGCCCUAAAUCUUGACACUUACUUUACUAAAGUGUCCGCCUGAGGACUACGAGCACAAACGCUUAAAACUCUAAGGACUUGGCGGUGCCCCAUACCCACCUAGAGGAGCCUGUUCUAUAAUCGAUAAUCCACGCUACACCCAGCCACUCCUCGCCCAAGCAGCCUACAUACCGCCGUCGCCAGCCCACCUCUCCUGAGAGUUUAACAGUGGGCCCAAUAGCUUUUACCCGCUAAAAAGACAGGUCAAGGUAUAGCCCACGGAGUGGGAGAAAUGGGCUACAUUUUCUAAAGUAGAAAAUCCACACGAAAGGAGGCAUGAAACCGCCUCCGGAAGGCGGAUUUAGCAGUAAAAUGGGAUAAUAAAACCCUAUUUAAGCCGGCCCUGGGGCACGUACAUACCGCCCGUCACCCUCCUCGUAGGCCAUAAACCCUAUAACUAAUUAGCCCACAUUGCCAAAGAUGAGGUAAGUCGUAACAAGGUAAGUGUACCGGAAGGUGCACUUAGCAUAC